rnacentral:rRNA from 1 species
GAUGAACGCUGGCGGCGUGCCUAAUACAUGCAAGUCGAGCGAACGGACGAGAAGCUUGCUUCUCUGAUGUUAGCUGCGGACGGGUGAGUAACACGUGGAUAACCUGCCUAUAAGACUGGGAUAACUUCUGGAAACCGUAGCUAAUACCGCAUAAUAUUUUGAACCGCAUGGUUCAAAAUUGAAAGACGGUCUUGCUUUCACUUAUAGAUGGAUCCGCGCUUCAUUAGCUAGUUGGUAAGGUAACGGCUUACCAAGGCAACGAUGCAUAGCCAACCUGAGAGGGUGAUCGGCCAAACUGGAACUGAGAAAAGGUCCAGACUCCUACGGGAGGAAGCAGUAGGGAAUCUUCCGCAAUGGGCGAAAGCCUGACGGAGCAACGCCGCGUGAGUAAUGAAGUUCUUCGGAUCGUAAAACUCUGUUAUUAGGGAAGAACAUAUGUGUAAGUAACUGUGCACAUCUUGACGGUACCUAAUCAGAAAGCCACGGCUAACUACGUG